UACGUAGGGGGCAAGCGUUGUCCGGAUUUAUUGGGCGUAAAGAGCGUGUAGGCGGCUGGGUAAGUCCGUUGUGAAAACUCGAGGCUCAACCUCGAGACGCCGAUGGAAACCCUCCAGCUAGAGUCCGGAAGAGGAGAGUGGAAUUCCUGGUGUAGCGGUGGAAAUGCGCAGAUAUCAGGAAGAACACCCGUGGCUAAGGCGGCUCUCUAGUACGGUACUGACGCUGAGACGCGAAAGCGUGGGGAGCGAACAGG
rnacentral:rRNA from 1 species